AUAGUAGUCCCUCCGUCCGAAAAUAUUUGUCAUCAAAAUGAAUAAAAAAAUGUAUAUAAAUGUAUUUUAGUUAUAAAUACAUCUUUUUUGUCCAUUUUGAUCACAAGUAUUUUCGGGCGGAGGGAGUAGUAC
rfam:Triticum aestivum genome assembly, contig: Triticum_aestivum_CS42_TGACv1_scaffold_423662_5BS